UAAAAGGUCGGGAUAGCUC
rnacentral:tRNA from 3 species